AAAAAAUAGAAAACUCUAACUACUGAAAGUUCUAACCCACUACUGUUAUUAGUGGCAUACAAUUUCCUGGGAUACUCACUUAAACUCUACCCUAUAAAAAAAACAAAUAAAUAUUAGAUUAGUAAUAAUAUAAAACACAUUUGGUUAUCCUAAUGAGACAAAACAAUCACCACCACAAUAAACCAGAGUAAUCUAUUCGAAAGCAAAAGCAUUCCAUAGAGGAAAAUAAAUAAAGAAUUUAAUCAACAUGAGAACUCAACAAUCAUUAAAAGUACAGAAAUAGGACAAAUACGAGGAGGUGAUCACUGACCGGAAAAUAAUAGGGGGUGCAACGCGGUUCCGAUCGGAGGGAGAAAACCGUAUGGUUGUGGGAGUUGCUCCAGCACCGAGGCUUUAUGCAAUUGUGAGCAUGGAUGUCGGAUCUAUGUUGUUCUUGUGAUGGUGACGACAAGCGAGAUGCGACCGGAUUGAUGUCAGAGCUUUGAUGAUGCAUUUACGGUGACAAUAACGGCAAUGGUCACGAAGCUAAUGUGCGGUUGUCUGCAAGAGAUCACCUAGUCAUUUGAUGGAGUUUGCACAUUGGUGUCGUCGGAGGCUCCACGCGGUGGUGAUUCUUUCCGGAACGAAUAUCCGAUCUUGCUCCUCUUUCCUUUUGAUUUGAUUUUGUUUAUGUGGUUUGUGGUGAUAUUGACUUUAUGAAUGGUGGUGUUGAUUUAAUUUAAUGGUGAUAUUAUGGAAAUUUCGAAGGUUGGUGAGAGAUGUUGGUGAUGAUGGAGAUGUAAGGUUGAUUGAAGAUGGAGGUCUUUGUUGAGUGUUUUAAAGAGAACAUUGGAUUGUUGUUGUUGGUAACAAGUUUGUGUUGUAAUUUUUUGUGGAGUGUAUAGUGUAUUCGUUAUGUCUCCCUAGUGUGUAAAAGCUCUCAAUUUAUACUGGUUAUGUCAUUAAACUGAAUUAUUUGCUUUGAUUCACUUUUCAAAUUGAUUUUAAAGAAGCUAUUGAAUGAGAUUAAAUUUGGUUUUAA
rnacentral:lncRNA from 1 species